GUUUUAUAUGUCAUAUCAUCUUAUUUUUGGUCAGUUAGUCAACUUUGUUAUUUAUUUUUUACAGUAAAAUAAUGUUUUAAAAUUUCUGAAUUGAUUUCAUCAUAUCAAAUGUACAUCAGAAACUCCCAUAAUGAUUCCCUGGUGCAGUAUGGUCAUUGCCUGUAUUAUUAAACAGAUAAAUUGUAUUCUGUUUAUCAUUAAUCUAUACAUUUCGAAAAUCCAAAAAGCAAUAUUUUCCUGUAUUGAGAUUUUGUCCAUUGGAGUUGUCUUUCUUUGCACAAAAUAUUAUUUAAGAUAGUGAUGGAGGGAAAACAUGUGAAAAUUGAACUUAAGUAUUAAG
rnacentral:lncRNA from 1 species